ACGUAGGGGGCAAGCGUUGUCCGGAAUCAUUGGGCGUAAAGCGCGUGUAGGCGGUCCGAUAAGUCCGCUGUGAAAGUCGGGGGCUCAACCCUCGGAUGCCGGUGGAUACUGUCGGGCUUGAGUACGGAAGAGGCGAGUGGAAUUCCUGGUGUAGCGGUGAAAUGCGCAGAUAUCAGGAGGAACACCAAUUGCGAAGGCAGCUCGCUGGGACGUUACUGACGCUGAGACGCGAAAGCGUGGGGAGCAAACAGGAUUAGAUACCCUGGUAGUCCACGCUGUAAACGAUGGGCACUAGGUGUGGGGGGUGUCGACUCCCUCCGUGCCGAAGCUAACGCAUUAAGUGCCCCGCCUGGGGAGUACGGCCGCAAGGCUA
rnacentral:rRNA from 1 species